CGGGGCGUGGCGCAGCUUGGUAGCGCGCUUGCAUGGGGUGCAAGAGGUCGUGGGUUCGAAUCCCGCCGCCCCGACCA
rnacentral:tRNA from 1 species